rnacentral:lncRNA from 1 species
AAAACUACCACCACAUGUAGGAAAAAGCUACCACCCCGGUCGUCCGGUAAGUGUGUGAAGCUACCACAUGAAGAUUGAAUUGAAUAACCGAAAAGGUUGAAAAAAAAUUGAAUAUUUUAGAAUUUUCGGAGUUAUAAGGUGUUAGUUUAAAAAAAGAUACUCAAAGAGCCACUCCCGGUAUCAUAUUAGUUAAAUCUCUAUUUUGAACGGAUUGGGACAAAUUGGUGUCAAUUUUGCCGAAUUUCUAAAAAUUAUUUUUCGUGAACCGUUACAUCUUGAUGAUUUUGAAACUCGAGGU